GGGGGGCUGCAGUGGGGGAUAUUGCACAAUGGGGGAAACCCUGAUGCAGCGACGCCGCGUGUGGGAAGACGGUCCUCUGGAUUGUAAACCACUGUCCCCAGGGACGAAGAUGACGGUACCUGGGGAGGAAGCUCCGGCUAACUACGUGCCAGCAGCCGCGGGAAUACGUAGGGAGCGAGGGUUGUCCGGAAUUAAGGGGUGUAAAGGGAGCGUAGGCGGGGAGUCAAGUUGGGUGUCAAAACUACCGGCUCAACUGGUAGUCGCACUCAAAACUGCAGCUCUUGAGUGAAGUAGAGGCAGGCGGAAUUCCUAGUGUAGCGGUGAAAUGCGUAGAUAUUAGGAGGAACACCAGUGGCGAAGGCGGCCUGCUGGGCUUUUACUGACGCUGAGGCUCGAAAGUGUGGGGAGCAAACAGGAUUAGAUACCCCAGUAGUC
rnacentral:rRNA from 1 species